UACCCCUGUAGUCCUAGCCGUAAACGAUACUCGCUAGGUGUCGGCCACGGUGCGACCGUUGUCGGUGCCGUAGGGAAGCCGUGAAGCGAGCCACCUGGGAAGUACGGCCGCAAGGCUAGAAACUUAAAGGAAUUGGCGGGGGAGCACAACAACGGGUGGAGCUUGCGGUUUAAUUGGAUUCAACGCCGGAAAUCUUACCGGGACCGACAGCAACAUGAAGGCCAAGCUGAAGACUUUGCCGGAUUAGCUG
rnacentral:rRNA from 1 species